rnacentral:misc_RNA from 1 species
AAGUCGUAACAAGGUUUCCGUAGGUGAACCUGCGGAAGGAUCAUUUGAGUUCAUUCUAUUCUCAAUGGAAUAGAUUCGAUUCAUAACGAUACAUAAGUCAACCGUGUGAAAGUGUCAACAAACUCCCAUUCAAUAAACAAUGGGCGAGAAUCUAAUUUGCUGUUUUGCGGCUAGAUGCAGUAAUGUGUUUUGCCGCAGCAGCAUCUCGCUCAGCUGUUUUUUGAUUGGUGUGUUCUUUUCGCUUGUGUGCGAUGCAAUGGAUAAAACCACACAUUGAUAAAAUCAUGCCAAAAGCAUAAAAACAAAUAAAAAUGAACACGAACAGUUUUAACGGUGGAUCUCUAGGCUCGC